rnacentral:rRNA from 1 species
UGCUCCUUGGGUGACGAGUGGCGGACGGGUGAGUAAUGUCUGGGAAACUGCCCGAUGGAGGGGGAUAACUACUGGAAACGGUAGCUAAUACCGCAUAACGUCGCAAGACCAAAGAGGGGGACCUUCGGGCCUCUUGCCAUCGGAUGUGCCCAGAUGGGAUUAGCUAGUAGGUGGGGUAACGGCUCACCUAGGCGACGAUCCCUAGCUGGUCUGAGAGGAUGACCAGCCACACUGGAACUGAGACACGGUCCAGACUCCUACGGGAGGCAGCAGUGGGGAAUAUUGCACAAUGGGCGCAAGCCUGAUGCAGCCAUGCCGCGUGUAUGAAGAAGGCCUUCGGGUUGUAAAGUACUUUCAGCGAGGAGGAAGGCGUUGUGGUUAAUAACCGCAGCGAUUGACGUUACUCGCAGAAGAAGCACCGGCUAACUCCGUGCCAGCAGCCGCGGUAAUACGGAGGGUGCAAGCGUUAAUCGGAAUUACUGGGCGUAAAGCGCACGCAGGCGGUCUGUCAAGUCGGAUGUGAAAUCCCCGGGCUCAACCUGGGAACUGCAUCCGAAACUGGCAGGCUAGAGUCUUGUAGAGGGGGGUAGAAUUCCAGGU